GGUCGUGAACUGAGGGGACAACUGUCUCCCCCUUCAGAUCCGGCCCGGCACCGCGGAAUCAAUCCGCGAAAUCUUACCCACAGAAGGAG
rfam:Geothermobacter sp. EPR-M contig_1, whole genome shotgun sequence.